UGCCCCGCAAGCCAGGGAGCGGUGCCAUUGCUCCAGGAAGUCGCCUGGCCUGAGACUUUCCUAAAUUCUACCCAGACUCAGCGCCCAGAGCCUGCUUCAGCCUUCAGCCCUCUUCUUCCUGCCGAGGCGAGGGGGCUGCUGGGAGGUUUUGGUCCUGCAGACUCGAGAGUCGCUGGGAGGAGAGGAAAGUAUGUCGGCCCCAGGUCCCGGGCUCUGCUCCUGCGCUCUGGCCUCCGGUUUCUCUGGGCGUAGGAGAGGAGGGCAGGGAUCCUGUGAAUAAAAUGGCGCAGACGUGCUUGUGCGGCUUUCCUGCUGGAGUCCAUGAGCGUCUCGAGGAUUUGCAUCCAUGUGCUCAUAAGCAAUGGGAGUGAAUGAAGAGCCAGGCCCAGCAACAGAGGGGAGCCUGCCCACAUGGAGCAAAAGGAGCCGGACACCAGAUUCACCCACGGCGCGAUCCCGGUGACGGAGGCAGUGUGAGCAGGCAGGCGGCGGCCACUCUGGGGAAGGGAGAAGGAAUGAGGGUGAGAGGGGCACAGAGGGCCUCCAGGGAGACGGUCCUAUUGUGCCUCUUCUCCUGGGUGUCUGUCACCUGCAUGCAAACUUUGUGAUCAUUCACUGAGUCACGUUUUCUUACAUGUCUCCUUAAAAACAGUU
rnacentral:lncRNA from 1 species